rnacentral:lncRNA from 1 species
UCCAGCCUCUCCAGGGACGGGAAAGAUGGCGGAUGCUCCGUUAUCUCUGCUCAAACCCAGCACCUGGGUGGUCCACAGAUCCACUGGCUGGGACCCAGCCUCUGUGUGAGACCCACGCGGGUGCAGUUCCUGACCCUGUGCCAUCGGGCGGACGACCCCAUCAUUAAGAUGGAGACAGAAUGGGACUCACCUCGCAGAGCCAUCAAGAGGAGGGAGGGGUCAGGAAGAGGACAGACGGUCAGAGGAGCAGCCGGUGUGGCUGUGUGGAGACGCUCCAUCAGUCACCACCUGGGACCUGGGCUCCUGGACACCUGAGUUCCUCUCUCCAAGCUCAGCGAUUCACUGGGCUGCUCCUCUGCCCUCAGACUCUACUCAUGUAUGCAGUCAACAAACAUUUACUGAGCACCCUCCAUGGGGGAGACACAGUUCUGGCAAGUUCAGUGCAGCGUGGUGGUGACAAGCUCAGAGCCUGGAGCGAUGCUCCGUUACUCACAAGCUGUGUGACGUUCGGAAGAUAUCUACCCUCUCUGUGCCUCUGUUUCUUCACUUUUAAAAGGGUGAUAAUAAUAGUAUCUCCCUCAUAGGGUUGUUGUAAGGAUUAAAUGAGUUACUGUAUCCACAGGACCCAGAACAAUGCUUGGGACGUGGUGAGUGCCACCCAAGCACCAGGUAUAAAGGGCUGAAGUACACCCGGCCUUCUUAUGCUGCCUCUGAAGACGCCCACGUUCCCUGAGAACUGGAGCAGCCCCGGUUGACAUCUGCUCUGCACCUUUUCCGUGCCCACCCGCUUUACGUCAAAGGUUGAUCAACUUUUUCUUAAAGGUCUGGAUAGUAAAUAAUCAGGCUUUGCAGCCAGAGGCAAGAUUGAGGCUAGGAUGAAGGCUGUUACAUAACCGCUUGACAUGUACCCGUUUAGAAAUGAGGGUGAAGAAAACAUUCUUAGCUCGGGGGCCUCAGAAACAGCAGCAGCAGCCAGCCAAACAGCAGGCUGAGGUUUGUCCAUCCCUGCUCCUACUCAUUCGAUCCUUAAAACAACACAAGGUGAGCAAUUACUGUUAGGACCCCCACUUGAAGAUGUGGAAACACUGUCUCAGAGAGGCUGAGUGACUUUUCCAAGGCCGCACAGCUGGUAGGGGCAGAGGCAAGACUGGAACCCACGCUGUCUGACUGCAGAGCCCCCGGUUAACGGCUCUGCCUCUCGUGCUGUGUCACCAACACCGCCACCUGCCUGCCUCCCUCAUCCAGCCCCUCCCCCUGGGAACUGCUCGCUUCCUCCCCAUCUGCAUCCCUGGAGACAUAGAGCCAUCUUAUUACUGCCCGAGAGCAGUGGCUCUGGUGAGCACGGAAGUACCAAAGUGAGUCAUGCAGUGUGGACGGGUCACAGCGUUUUUAUCCAUUCACCAGUUGAUGGAAUUUGGGGCUACGGGCUGGUUGUCAGUUUAUUGCUUCUCAGCAUGGAAUCUGCUCUUCUUGGUCCUGCUUUGUGGCCCCGGAGCUGCCCCUGG